AUUGAACGCUGGCGGCAGGCCUAACACAUGCAAGUCGAGCGAGCGGCGGACGGGUGAGUAAUGUAUGGGGACCUGCCUGAUGGCGGGGGAUAACUACUGGAAACGGUAGCUACUACCGCAUACCGUCAGCUGAACCCAUAUGGGAUUAGCUAGUAGGUAAGGUAACGGCUCACCUAGGCGACGAUCCCUAGCUGGUCUGAGAGGAUGAUCAGCCACACUGGUACUGAGACACGGCCCAGACUCCUACGGGAGGCAGCAGUGGGGAAUAUGGCACAAUGGGCGCAAGCCUGAUGCAGCCAUGCCGCGUGUAUGAAGAAGGCCUUCGGGUUGUAAAGUACUGUCAGUCGGGAGGCGUUACCGACAGAAGAAGCACCGGCUAACUCCGGGCCAGCAGCCGCGGUAAUUC
rnacentral:rRNA from 1 species